CAGAGAUGGUGUGAAGGACCAGGAGGAACAGCAGGGAUCUGAGCCUGUAGACCUGAUAGAUCCCAAAGAGGGAGGAAUUGUGCUCAUAAUGAAGAGGUGGGACUGCAGUGCAAUCAGAGAUCCUCCCGUGCUUUUCUCCCUUCUAAUGCAAUUACUCUAGCUGCAAGAUUUUUGCUCAAGAUACUGAAAAUCCUCCAGCUUAUUUGCAGAAAGCAAUGCAGCAGCAACUGUCAUACAGACGUCCCCAUUGGAGAGAAAUUGCAGUAUGAGCUGAGCCCUGUCAGGAGCUGGUCUUUACAUCGCCUGGCACAGAAGUGUGUGAAACUGAGAACUUUAACUGCCAGAAAGCACUCAAAAUGCUUGCCAGCAAUCAGCUGUGGGUCCUACAACCUUCCUCUAUGUGUGUCACCUUCCUGGGGUGGCAGUGACUGGCAAAGGGGUCAUGCUCUGCCCACACUCCCCAGCUCCAGGCAGGGAUGCAGCAGUGCUCCCCUACCUGGUAGGAUGUCAGAUCAAUGGGAUCACCUCUGUGGGGAAGACCUUGUAAUAGACAAAAGUCGUAGUGUCCUAAUGGCUUCACCAAAGCAGGUUCUUGGCAGUGCAAAGUGAUGGCAAAAUGCACCAGACCCAGAACUCCAGCAUCAGCACAGGACAAGUGGCCUGCUCCUCCUCUGGGUUUUGGUGGACACGCAUCUCAUGGGAAAGGAUGUCUCUGCAGUGCCUGCAAAUGCAAGAAUUCAGCACGCUUUUUUCCUCCACAAACCCUUUCAGUUUCUCCCUAUCAGCACACCCAUGCUGUGGUUAGGGGAGCAUUUCUAGGUGGGUGUACGCGAGGGCAGAGUUGGACCUGUGAUACUUAAGUCAGCCUCAAAUGGGAAUCUGGAGGAGGAGGAGCACGAAUGGAGAUAACACUUCAGCUUAGCUUUGGAAAAUUAGCUUCUUCAUAGAAGACAUAUUAUUUUUUCCAUUUUUCCUAACUGAAUUUGCUGUUGCACAAAGUUGAGUUUGGAAGCAGGCGCGUUUUACUUAAAGGAGGUGAUUCACUGGCCUAAGAUGUCUCCAGGAAACGAUAUGGUGCUGCUUAUAGCAUAGAAUAAAAGAGUAACCUUCCUGCCUGAGGGCACCUCUAGAAAACCAGAUGAAAACUGAAGUCAGUCAGAAAGUCUUGGCUUUGAGGUUUCCUUCUGUCUUCUGCGCUGUAGUUCCUGGGGAAAAGGCUGACCUCUGAGAAUGGAGUCACUUGCAGCCACAGAGAGGUUUGAAGGCUCUGCUCAGUUAGCUGAAAUGCUUCCUCCACACUCUGCUGGAGAGGUGCCUAACAGGCCUUGCUUAAGCAGAUGAAUUAAAAGGACUGAAAGCAGUCAUUGAUGGGGCUCCUUGAUGUAGGUAGAGGAGGAGGGAGCUGCUCUGGCAUUAGGCUGAUGUUUGAGAAAAGCUGAAAGAACCCGUCCAAUUGCUAAGCAAAGCUUCUGGGAAGACUUCAAAAAGAAAAGAAAAAUCAAUUGAAAUCGUCCACUCAUCAGAGAAAAAAAAAUCGUAUUUGCAGAUCUCUGUGCAGCAUGGGGAGCUUUUAUAACAAACACAUGAAGUAUCCUUACAACUGACACUUUCUUACUAGGGCUCAAAACUAAAAAUACUUUGCAACCUACAACAAGUCUUACUGACAGAGGAGACAGUGUUUAAAGCUCAGUAUUUCUGUUUUGGAGCCUUGUAUUA